GCCCCGCAUUGUAUUCGCUUAAGAAUGCGAGUCGAGAGGGUUCGGCCCUCGGCGCACUGCUCAGUAACACGCGGAUAAUCUGCCCUUGGGUGGGGAACAAUCUCGGGAAACUGAGAAUAAUACCCCAUAGGUCAUGGAUGCUGGAAUGCUUCAUAGCUCAAAGCCCCAGCGCCUAAGGAUGACUCUGCGGACUAUCAGGUAGUAGUCAGGGUAACGACCUGACUAGCCUACGACGGAUACGGGGUGUGAGAGCACUAGCCCGGAGAUGGAUUCUGAGACACGAAUCCAGGCCCUACGGGGUGCAGCAGGCGCGAAAAUUCCGCAAUGCUCGCAAGAGUGACGGAGGGAUUCCAAGUGCCUAUGCAAUGCGUAGGCUGUUUCCAUGUCUAAAUAACAUGGAGAGUAAGAGCUGGGUAAGACGGGUGCCAGCCGCCGCGGUAAUACCUGCAGCUCGAGUGGUAACCGCUAUUAUUGGGCCUAAAGCGUCCGUAGCCGGUCUGGUAAAUAUCUGGGUAAAUAGUGAGGCUUAACUUCACGAAUUCCGGAUAGACUGCCAGACUCGGGACCGGGGGAGGUCAGAGGUACUCCAGGGGUAGCGGUGAAAUGUUGUAAUCCUUGGAGGACCACCGGUAGCGAAGGCGUCUGACUAGAACGGGUCCGACGGUGAGGGACGAAGCCCUGGGGCGCAAACCGGAUUAGAUACCCGGGUAGUCCAGGGUGUAAACGAUGUGGGCUUUGUAUUGGAGGCCCUACGAGGGCGUCCAGUGCCGUAGAGAAGUUGUUUAGCCCACCGCCUGGGAAGUACGGUCGCAAGGCUGAAACUUAAAG
rnacentral:rRNA from 1 species